rnacentral:misc_RNA from 1 species
GGGGAAUUGAAGGACAAGAGGCGGAUCUUAGCAGCAACAUCGCCGAGUAUUCUAAGCUCGACGCGGUCGUUCAACGAGGCAUCACGGAUCAAAUCGGCAGCGUCAGCCUGAAGGAGAUUAACGCGAUCGACGGCGAUGGUAGCAUCGACCUGGCGCUGGCUGUGAGGGUCUUGAAAGAAUCCAGGAACGGAGGCUCUCCCAAGCGGAAUUCCUCGGUACAUAACCGU